rfam:Acromyrmex echinatior unplaced genomic scaffold scaffold21, whole genome shotgun sequence.
GCCUCGGUGGUCUAAAGGCUUAGGACGCUCGCCUGGAAAGCAAGAGAUCCGGAUUCGACUUCCGGCCGAGGGG